rnacentral:rRNA from 1 species
CGCCAGACUCCUACGGGAGGCAGCAGUGAGGAAUAUUGGUCAAUGGCCGAGAGGCUGAACCAGCCAAGUCGCGUGAGGGAAGACGGCCCUACGGGUUGUAAACCUCUUUUGUCGGGGAGCAAAGCGAACCACGUGUGGUUCAUUGAGAGUACCCGAAGAAAAAGCAUCGGCUAACUCCGUGCCAGCAGCCGCGGUAAUACGGAGGAUGCGAGCGUUAUCCGGAUUUAUUGGGUUUAAAGGGUGCGCAGGCGGAGGUGCAAGGCAGCGGUCAAAUUGCGGGGCCCAACCCCGUACUGCCGGUGAAACUGCAUCCCUUGAGUGCGCGAGAAGUAUGCGGAAUGCGUGGUGUAGCGGUGAAAUGCAUAGAUAUCACGCAGAACCCCGAUUGCGAAGGCAGCCUGCCGCAGCGUUACUGACGCUGAAGCUCGAAAGCGCGGGUAUCGAACAGGAUUAGAUACCCGCGUAGC